UACAGAGGGUGCAAGCGUUGUCCGGAAUCACUGGGCGUAAAGGGCGCGUAGGCGGCGCGAGCAGUCAACGGUGAAAGCCCGGAGCUCAACUCCGGGUCGGCCGUCGAUACUCUCGUGCUUGAGCACUGUAGAGGCAGGUGGAAUUCCGGGUGUAGCGGUGGAAUGCGUAGAGAUCCGGAAGAACACCAGUGGCGAAGGCGGCCUGCUAGGCAGUAGCUGACGCUGAUGCGCGACAGCGUGGGGAGCAAACAGG
rnacentral:rRNA from 1 species